rnacentral:rRNA from 1 species
UAUACAUGCAGUCGAGCGAACGGACGAGAAGCUUGCUUCUCUGAUGUUAGCGGCGGACGGGUGAGUAACACGUGGAUAACCUACCUAUAAGACUGGGAUAACUUCGGGAAACCGGAGCUAAUACCGGAUAAUAUUUUGAACCGCAUGGUUCAAAAGUGAAAGACGGUCUUGCUGUCACUUAUAGAUGGAUCCGCGCUGCAUUAGCUAGUU